rnacentral:rRNA from 1 species
CCUACGGGUGGCUGCAGUGAGGAAUAUUGGUCAAUGGGCGCAAGCCUGAACCAGCCAAGUCGCGUGAGGGAUGACGGUCCUAUGGAUUGUAAACCUCUUUUGUCGGGGAGCAAGGCCCGCCACGUGUGGAGGGAAGGAGAGUACCCGAAGAAAAAGCAUCGGCUAACUCCGUGCCAGCAGCCGCGGUAAUACGGAGGAUGCGAGCGUUAUCCGGAUUUAUUGGGUUUAAAGGGUGCGUAGGCGGAAGGUUAAGUUAGAGGUGAAAUCCCGAGGCUCAACUUCGGCAUUGCCUCUGAUACUGUUCGGCUAGAGAGUAGUUGCGGUAGGCGGAAUGUAUGGUGUAGCGGUGAAAUGCUUAGAGAUCAUACAGAACACCGAUUGCGAAGGCAGCUUACCAAGCUACUUCUGACGUUGAGGCACGAAAGCGUGGGGAGCAAACAGGAUUAGAUACCCGUGUAGUC